rnacentral:rRNA from 1 species
CCAAUAGCGUAUAUUAAAGUUGUUGCAGUUAAAAAGCUCGUAGUUGAAUUUCGGAAUCGACGGAUUGGUCGCGCCUUCGGUGUGUACUGGUCUUGCCGGUUUCUCCCUUCUGACGAACCACGAUGUCAUUAAUUUGGUGUCGUGGGAAAUCAGGACUGUUACUUUGAAAAAAUUAGAGUGUUUAAAGCAGGCAUUCGCUUGAAUACAUUAGCAUGGAAUAAUGAAAUAGGACGUUUGAUCUUAUUUUGUUGGUUUCUAGGAUCGACGUAAUGAUUAAUAGGGAUAGUUGGGGGCAUUAGUAUUCAAUUGUCAGAGGUGAAAUUCGUGGAUUUAUUGAAGACUAACUACUGCGAAAGCAUUGGCCAAGGAUGUUUUCAUUAAUCAAGAACGAAAGUUAGGGGAUCGAAGACGAUCAGAUACCGUCGUAGUCUUAACCAUAAACUAUGCCGACUAGGGAUCGGAUGAUGUUGAUUUUUUAAUGACUCAUUCGGCACCUUACG